GCCCGCGUGGCCUAAUGGAUAAGGCGUCUGAGUCCGGAUCAGAAGAUUGCCGGUUCAAGUCCGGCCGGUGGGCU